rnacentral:rRNA from 1 species
UACGUAGGGGGCAAGCGUUGUCCGGAUUUAUUGGGCGUAAAGAGCUCGUAGGCGGCUCGGUAAGUCGGAUGUGAAACCUCCAGGCUCAACCUGGAGACGCCAUCUGAUACUGCCGUGGCUCGAGGCCGGUAGAGGAGCAGGGAAUUCCUGGUGUAGCGGUGAAAUGCGCAGAUAUCAGGAGGAACACCAGCGGCGAAGGCGCUGCUCUGGGCCGGUACUGACGCUGAGGAGCGAAAGCGUGGGGAGCGAACAGG